rnacentral:lncRNA from 1 species
UUUACCUAAGCAAGCCUGGGCAAUGGCGGGCGCCCCUCCCCCAGCCUCGCUGCCGCCUUGCAGUUUGAUCUCAGACUGCUGUGCUAGCAAUCAGCGAGACUCCGUGGGCGUAGGACCCUCUGAACCAGGUGCAGGAUAUAAUCUCGUGGUGGGUGGUUUUUUAAGCCAGUCCGAAAAGCGCAAUAUUCGGGUGGGAGUGACCCGAUUUUCCAGGUGCCGUCUGUCACCCCUUUCUUUGACUGGGAAAGGGAACUCCCUGACCCUUUGCGCUUCCCAAGUGAGGCAAUGCCUCGCCCUGCUUCGGCUGGCGCACAGUGCACGCACCCACUGACCCGCGCCCACUGUCUGGCACUCCCUAGUGAGAUGAACCCGGUACCUCAGAUGGAAAUGCAGAAAUCACCCGUCUUCUGCGUCGCUCACGCUGGGAGCUGUAGACCGGAGCUGUUCCUAUUCGGCCAUCUUGGCUCCUCCGAAUGUGAUUUUGAAGAAAGGAGGAAAGAUGUGAAAAGUGAUUGGUCAGCCACAUUCAUGGUGUUGAGAAAAGAAUUUGCUUUUCUGGAACAUAGCCUGUGAUAGCAGAACAACACCUGGCAAGAAACAGGUUAUGUUUGGCUGGAGAGUCAUUGGCACUAUCAAGAAAUAUUAAAGUGUAGAUUUGAGAGAGGAGGAGAAAGACCCAAGCAAAAUUGAAAACCAGGUGGGACCCAGACAGCAGCAAAGCAAUGGAAGCAUGUAUUUUGGUCAAUAUAGAGUUAAUACACAAUUUUGCCCCUCUUCUUCUGAUCAUGGGACUCAUAUUACCAGUCUUCACAUUUCCUUUAAAUUCAGGAAUCAGGAAGAAUUUCCAGAGUUUGCAGAUGGACACAUUUGCUGCUUCCAUUCUAAACAUAAGUUAGAAGAACCUUUCAACUGGAUUCCAACUUUAAUAUGUCACAAACAUAAAAAAGAAAGCUAUUUCCUGGACUUUUCUUCAUUAGAAAUUAAUAGAUUGUCAAUUGGCAUAGGGAAAAGAUAAUCAACAGAUGCCAACCCCAAGUUAACAGAAAUGCUAAAAUUAUAAGACAAAGACUUCAAAAUAGCUAUUUUAAUUUUGCCUAGUGAGGUAAAUGCAAACAUGCUCACUAUGAAUGAAAACAGGUAAUCUCAGCAGUCAUGUAAACUAUAAAAAUAAGCAAAUAUAAAUUUUAGAAUUAAAACACAAUAUCUAAAAAUAAAUUCACCUGAUAUUCUCAAUAGAAAAAAUGGUAAUGCAGAGAAAAAUGUAUGAAAAUAUGGCAAUUUGAAGAAGAGAGAAGAGAUCAAUAAAAUAAAUAAGUAUAUCCUUGGAGACCUGUGGAUGUUUUUUGAAAAGUGAAUCAUGUAAGUAAUUGAAGUCCCAGAAGAAAAGAAAAGAAGAGGAUGAGCAGAAAAAAAUUUCUGAAAAAAUAUCUGAAAGCUUAAACACUAUAAUGAAAGACACACAUUUACAAACUCAAGAAGUUUAGUAAACCAAAAACAAUAAAAUCAAAGAGAACUGUGCCAAGCGACAUCAUUUUCAACCUGCUGAAGAUCUUGACAGCAGUCAGAGAAAAAAGACACACUUAUUACACAGAGAGGAACAAUACAUUAAAUACUAGCACACUUCUCAUCAGAGAUCAUUAAGCCCAGAAGACAGUGGAAUGAGAUCUUUAAAGUGCUGAAAUAAAAUAAAUGUUGAUUAAAAAA